rnacentral:rRNA from 1 species
UACGGAAGGCAGCAGUGGGGAAUAUUGCACAAUGGGCGCAAGCCUGAUGCAGCCAUGCCGCGUGUAUGAAAAAGGCCUUCGGGUUGUAAAGUACUUUCAGUCGUGAGGAAGGUGUUAAGGUUAAUAACCUUAGCAAUUGACGUUAGCGACAGAAGAAGCACCGGCUAACUCCGUGCCAGCAGCCGCGGUAAUACGGAGGGUGCGAGCGUUAAUCGGAAUUACUGGGCGUAAAGGGCACGCAGGCGGUUAAUUAAGUUGGAUGUGAAAUCCCCGGGCUUAACCUGGGAAUGGCAUUCAAGACUGGUUAGCUAGAGUCUUGUAGAGGGGGUAGAAUUCCAUGUGUAGCGGUGAAAUGCGUAGAGAUGUGGAGGAAUACCGGUGGCGAAGGCGGCCCCUGGGACAAAGGCUGACGCUCAUGUGCGAAAGCGUGGGGAGCAAACGAGGGAUUAGAUACC